rnacentral:lncRNA from 1 species
GACAUGCCCUAGCGUGGCUCCAUUUUCACCCGUUGUGCUAAGAAUCUCUCAGUGGUCCUUUCAAUCUGGCAACUUAUUUCCGUCUGUUCUGGAAAACUCUUUGAAUUGUUUCUCUGAUGAUUUCUUUCCUUCCAAUUAUUUGUCUGUUUGGAUAACCUGGCCUCAUCUUCCAAUGAUCUUAUCUUUUCAUUCCUAUUUUUUGUUGCUUUGUGUGUUCUCUCAAUGUUGCCUUCCAACACUCCUAUUGAGUUGUUUGUGGCUGUCAUAUGGUGAUGUCCAAGGGCUGCUUUUUGACAGGGUGCGAGACAUCCUUUUACUUCCCUGCAUGUAUGAACGAUUGUGUGUGGAGAUGUGCUUUGUGACAGAGGGACCUAUCGAACCACAGGGCUAGAUGGCUGGCUCCACAUCUGCUCAGGAUAUGUACUAUUGUUGCUUAGAAUAACAAAGACCCACCAAAUACUUAGGACUAAUUAUUCUCGUGGAGCAUCCAAAAUUUUGAACAGGGAGCCAAAAC